rnacentral:rRNA from 1 species
UACGAAGGGGGCUAGCGUUGCUCGGAAUCACUGGGCGUAAAGCGCACGUAGGCGGAUUUGUAAGUCAGGGGUGAAAUCCCGGGGCUCAACCUCGGAACUGCCUUUGAUACUGCAAAUCUCGAGUCCGGAAGAGGUGAGUGGAAUUCCUAGUGUAGAGGUGAAAUUCGUAGAUAUUCGCAAGAACACCAGUGGCGAAGGCGGCUCACUGGCCCGGUACUGACGCUGAGGUGCGAAAGCGUGGGGAGCAAACAGG